rnacentral:rRNA from 1 species
AAACCAACAGGGAUUGCCCCAGUAGCGGCGAGUGAAGCGGCAAGAGCUCAGAUUUGGAAUCGUGUUUCGGCACGAGUUGUAAAUUGCAGGUUGGAGUCUUUGUGGAAGCGUGUGUCCAAGUCCCUUGGAACAGGGCGCCAUUGAGGGUGAGAGCCCCGUGGGAUGCGCGCGGAAGCAACAAGGCCCUUCUGACGAGUCGAGUUGUUUGGGAAUGCAGCUCUAAGCGGGUGGUAAAUUCCAUCUAAGGCUAAAUACUGGCGAGAGACCGAUAGCGAACAAGUACUGUGAAGGAAAGAUGAAAAGCACUUUGAAAAGAGAGUGAAACAGCACGUGAAAUUGUUGAAAGGGAAGGGUAUUGGGCCCGACAUGGGGAUUGCGCAUCUCUGCUCCUUGUGGGCGGGGCGCUGUGCUUUUCCUGGGCCAGCAUCGGUUUUUGCCGCAGGAGAAGGGGUACUGGAAUGUGGCUCCUCGGAGUGUUAUAGCCAGUGCCAGAUGCUGCCGUGCGGGGACCGAGGGCUGCGACAUCUGUCUCGGAUGCUGGCAC